UAGCAUAUCAAUAAGCGGAGGAAAAGAAACCAACAGGGAUUGCCCUAGUAACGGCGAGUGAAGCGGCAACAGCUCAAAUUUGAAAUCUGGCUUCGGCCCGAGUUGUAAUUUGCAGAGGAAGCUUUAGGCGCGGCACCUUCUGAGUCCCCUGGAACGGGGCGCCAUAGAGGGUGAGAGCCCCGUAUAGUUGGAUGCCUAGCCUGUGUAAAGCUCCUUCGACGAGUCGAGUAGUUUGGGAAUGCUGCUCAAAAUGGGAGGUAAAUUUCUUCUAAAGCUAAAUACCGGCCAGAGACCGAUAGCGCACAAGUAGAGUGAUCGAAAGAUGAAAAGCACUUUGAAAAGAGGGUUAAAUAGCACGUGAAAUUGUUGAAAGGGAAGCGCUUGUGACCAGACUUGCGCCGGGCAGAUCAUCCGGUGUUCUCACCGGUGCACUCUGCCCGGCUCAGGCCAGCAUCGGUUCUCGCGGGGGGAUAAAGGCCCUGGGAACGUAGCUCCUCCGGGAGUGUUAUAGCCCGGGGCGUAAUGCCUUCGCGGGGACCGAGGUUCGCGCAUCUGCAAGGAUGCUGGCGUAAUGGUCAUCAGCGACCCGUCUUGAAACACGGACCAAGGAGUCAAGGUUUUGCGCGAGUGUUUGGGUGUAAAACCCGCACGCGUAAUGAAAGUGAACGUAGGUGAGAGCUUCGGCGCAUCAUCGACCGAUCCUGAUGUUUUCGGAUGGAUUUGAGUAGGAGCGUUAAGCCUUGGACCCGAAAGAUGGUGAACUAUGCUUGGAUAGGGUGAAGCCAGAGGAAACUCUGGUGGAGGCUCGCAGCGGUUCUGACGUGCAAAUCGAUCGUCAAAUCUGAGCAUGGGGGCGAAAGACUAAUCGAACCAUCUAGUAGCUGGUUACCGCCAA
rnacentral:rRNA from 1 species